AACAAAAACCUCAGCUCCAAAGACUUAGCUAUACCGAUACCGCCCUUCCGAUUUUUGUCCCACAAUCAAGGAUUUGGGGGAGCAAAAAUAUUCAUCCCAGGCUUCUACAGUUUCCUAAAAUACCCCGCCUAUUUUGAGUUUGAGAGAUACUGGUGCCCAAAUGAAGAAAACGAAAUCAUCUCCCCCCUCAAAUUAUCUUCCUUUGUCUUUCUGUCUCUGUGCUCCGGAGAGGGUACCAAGAUUGCCUGCGACCAGAGAUCAGAGAAGACUGAAAAGGAAGCCGCCGCCGGGGCGGCCAGGCUCACCGCAGUGGCCAAGAUUCAGCCAUACCAGCCCGAUAAAUGCGCUAAGCUCUCCUUCCUGUAACUUGUUUCUUGUUUUAAGUUCGAAUGUAGGCCAUCCCUAUUUAAAAUGAAUGAAUUAGAACUAAAUAUGUCAUGAAAGUAAAAUAACUGGAAAUAAAGAGAGCUCUAGCUCCAAAUGUUUGCCGAAUUAAGUAGAAAGCGGAAAGUGCCUUCGCUCAGGAGGUUACUCUGGGCCUCUGUUCACAAGUCUCUAUUUGAAGAUCUGGCCUUUGCCCAACUGCCACCCAAGAGGUGGGGAUUUGGGGGGUUUCCUUCCCUUUCCAACCCUUGCUUCUUCCUUAUGAGGUCUAGAAUUUUAGCUUUCAUCUCUGUAUUUGUGCCUGGCCCUGCCAAGCAGAUCCGUAGCCACCUUUGAAGGUCUGCAGGAAAAAGAUAUUUUUGUGGAACAGCAAGGCUUAAAAUUUUUUUUGUUUUGUUAUGUUUUUGUGAGUGUGUGACUGAACAUAUGAGCUUGUGGAUGUAUUUAUUGGAGGGCAAAUGUGAAUCUCUGUUUAUAAGCCAAUGUGCGAAUGUACAUUGGUAUCUAUCAAUAUGUCUGUAAGUGACUGUGAAUGUGUGUUUACUUGUGAGUGUGUGUGAAUGGGAAUGCCUGUCUUCUGGGCAUAGAGCCUGGAUUGUGUGAAUGCUUGUAUGUUUAUUUGUGAACAUAGGGAUAUCUAUGUUUAUGACUGCAUGUGAUAACAGAUAUUUUUACGUGAUGUCAGCUUGUAAAUAUGUGUUGUGGCACUGGUCUAUAUCAUUGUAUAAGAGUGUAAAAUUGGCUCUCUAGUUGGAAGUCCUCAGAGUAGGGAGCAUCGGUAAAAGAGCAGAUCCAGCAGAGAAAGAAAAGACAGAAAAGACUGAGAGCAGUCAGUUAAAGCAGAAGGGGCCCUUGGUGCCCAUCCAUGACUAACCAUGACCCCCCCUCCCAUCUUCAGAGAGACAGAAAAUAGGGCAUCUGUUUAUUUUUAAUCUUGUUUUAUUUUUCCAUCCUUCAGCUAUACAUAGAAUGUAAAAAGGAGCUGGGGUGGCUGGUGGGAACGAGGAAUCAUGGUCAGGUGCAUGGGGACAAAUGAGCUAGCCAGCUAGUUGGUGGUUCCUUGGGGCUCCCUAAGGCCCUUUCAGUAUGCUACUGGGAAGGCAGAGGCUCAGGAGAGUGGGCGCACAGGGAACCACAUGUUACUCCACGGUCCACAAACACAGCAAGAAAGACAGC